rnacentral:rRNA from 1 species
GACGUAGGAGGCGAGCGUUGUCCGGAUUCAUUGGGCGUAAAGAGCACGCAGGCGGUUUGGCAAGUCGGAUGUGAAAACCCGAAGCUCAACUUCGGGCCUGCAUCCGAAACUGCCCGACUAGAGGUAGGUAGGGGAGAUCGGAAUUCCUGGUGUAGCGGUGAAAUGCGCAGAUAUCAGGAAGAACACCCGUGGCGAAAGCGGCUCUCUGGAACAGUACUGACGCUGAGACGCGAAAGCGUGGGGAGCGAACAGG